ensembl:lncRNA
UUUCUAGAGAUAGAGAAGCUUUGGGGCAGAGCUAUCUAAAUCCUGAGGGUUGAUUUGCCCUCCCCUGUUUUCUGAUUGACAGCUGGUCUCUCAACUUUCCACCAUCUCUUCUGCUGCACAACAUGCUGGAGUUCCUCCUCUCUUAGCAAAGCACUACGGUAUGAAUGAAAUCAUACGAUAUUUGUCUUUCACUGACUUACUUUGCUUCGCAUAAUACCCUCAAGAUCCAUCUACAUUGUCACAAAUGGUACUAUUUUUCCUUUUUUAUGGCUGAGUAGUAUUCCAUUGUGUGUGUAUAUACACAUACAGACACACACACACCCCACAUCUUCUUUAGGAUCAUGUUAUCUCUCCUGCCAACUUCCUGAUGUCACAUGUCUGCACCUCCAUCUAGAUUCCUUGAUGACAUGCCUUCCCUGUCCCAGAGCUGGAGGCAGUUCUGGAUGUGUGCACAGCAGCCUCUGGGGACCUUCCACAUUUUCCAUCUGCUGCUGGAGCCCAUUUUCUUGAACCUUAGUUUCCUGCCUGAAGACGGGAACAAUUUAUACCCCCUUCUCCAUGAGCUUGGAAGGCUGACAGAGAAGAUUAAGAUCAUUGCCAUCAAGUUUUUAUCUGCUAUAAGCAAAAACAGGAAACCAAGAAAUAAAGGCACAGCUUAGCAAUAGCUUCUGAGUGGGUAACAUGGGAGAAGUUUUUCUUAAAUCCUCUUUCCCAUGUACCUUCCCACCCACAUGUUCUUAGUCAGAUUUAUUUUUUGCAUAUCAGUUUCUGAGGAUGACAAGAAACUUGCCCUUUUCUUAACUAUGGUUUUCAGAAGCAGAUUAUCCUGCGCUUAGUCGAGACCUCUUACUGAACCCUUGGAAUAAAUAAUACCCUGGGCUUAGGAAGUGGGUGUUGAAUAGAGAUUUUAUGACUCAUAAUGGAGUGUCAAAAUAGCCACUGCUGAUGUAUGGGUUCCUUAUCAGUUUUGGAAAUGACCCUGGGUAGAGCCGCACUUUCCUCUUGUAUUGAAAUUCCGUGAUUGAGGGAAAGUUUUAACAAGAACGUUCAGCAUCUCUUGAUAUUUAAAAGUCCCACAUUGAAUGGUGGCAUUUUUCAAAGGGGACUUGAGUUUAGCCUGGAAAGGCAGCUGUCCUCAGAAGAGGGGACCAGAGCAUUUCUCCAGGGUGGGCAGCUCAGGACCUAAGCUGCCAGGAUGAAUGGAGAAAAAGAUUGGCAUUUCCCUAGCCUAUGUCUUGAGGUUCUUGUUCUCAAAGGAGGAUGAGGUCAGGGUUCUACGCUUUCUCCUAGAGUAGAAUGAGAGAUCUCUCAUAAUAUCCAGCAGUUAGCAACAUUUCUAGGGCUCAGACCUUUGCUAUUCUCUCUCCCCUGCUGGAGGAAAUGAAAGGUAUAGUUCUCUCCUUAGGUCUGAGGGCAGCCUCACCUUGAGCUGAGCCCUCUCUUGGGAUAUUAUCUCAACUACCACACUCUCAGCAUAGGCCCCAUUAGUAAAGUCUUCUCAUUAGUGAUUGUUUUGUAGUAAUGAGGUUCUAUGAUAUGCCCCUUAGAUUGUU